rnacentral:miRNA from 1 species
GCAGUGUUUGAACUCGAUCUUGG